ensembl:lncRNA novel transcript, antisense to STXBP5L
GUAUGCUGGGGGUCGUGCUCUGGGGGAUGUAAUUGGCGCUACCUGUUGAAGGACUCAAGUGUGAAUCAAUAGAAUGCCUGCAAGCGUGCGAAUUUGGACGCCUGGAGUCUGAGGAUGCGGGAAGCGUUGCUUACCUUAGAUUUGAGAUUUAAGAAAUUUGCAGCAACAAGAAUUGACUGAUGGCAACUACUAUUUCUUAAUAAGAGUAUUUUACUUAUGUUCUCUGGUUCUUGAGAUUCAAAAUGUAUUUUGAGAAGCAGCAACAGGAGAACAUCUGGAGAGAGAAGGAGAUUCUCUCUUAGAAGGGAAAUCAAAGAGGAAACAAACAAAUGGAAGAACAUUCCAUGCUCAUGGAUAGGAAGAAUCAAUAUUGUGAAAAUGGCCAUACUGCCCAAGGUAAUUUAUAGAUUAAAUGCCGUCCCCAUCAAGCUACCAAUGACUUUCUUCACAAAAUUGGAAAAAACUACUUUAAAGUUGAUAUGGAACCAAAAAAGAGCCUGCACUGCCAAGACGAUCCUAAGGCAAGAGAACAAUGCUGGAGGCAUCAUGCUACCUGACUUCAAACUAUACUACAAGGCUACAGUAACCAAAACAGCAUGGUACUGGUACCAAAACAGAGAUAUAAACCAAUGGAACAGAACAGAGGCCUCAGAAAUAACACCACACAUCUACAACUAUCUGAUCUUUGACAAACCUGACAAAAACAAGAAAUGGGGAAAGGAUUCCCUAUUUAAUAAAUGGUGCUGGGAAAACUGGCUAGCCAUCUGUAGAAAGCUGAAACUGGAUCCCUUCCUUACACCUUAUACAAAAAUUAAUUCAAGAUGGAUUAAAGACUUAAAUGUUAGACCUAAAACCAUAAAAACCCUAGAAGAAAACCUAGGCAAUACCAUUCAGGACAUAGGCAUGGACAAGAACUUCAUGACUAAAACACCAAAAGCAAUGGCAACAAAAGCCAAAAUUGACAAAUGGGAUCUAAUUAAACUAAAGAGCUUCUGCACAGCAAAAGAAACUAUCAUCAGAGUGAACAGGCAACCUACAGAAUGGGAGAGAAUUUUUACAAUCUACCCAUCUGACAAAGGGCUAAUAUCCAGAAUCUACAAAGAGCUUAAACAAAUUUACAAGAAAAAAAUCAAACAACCCCAUCAAAAAGUGGGCAAAGGAUAUGAACAGACACUUCUCAAAAGAAGACAUUUAUGUAGCCAACAGACACAUGAAAAAAUGCUCAUCAUCACUGGCCAUCAGAGAAAUGCAAAUCAAAACCACAAUGAGGUACCAUCUCACACCAGUUAGAAUGGCAAUCAUUUAAAAGUCGGGAAACAACAGGUGCUGGAGAGGAUGUGGAGAAAUAGGAACACUUUUACACUGUUGGUGGGACUGUAAACUAGUUCAACCAUUGUGGAAGUCAGUGUGGUGAUUCCUCAGGGAUCUAGAACUAGAAAUACCAUUUGACCCAGCCAUCCCAUUACUGGUUAUAUACCCAAAGUAUAAUAAAACAUGCUGCUAUAAAGACACAUGCACACGUAUGUUUAUGGUGGCACUAUUCACAAUAGCAAAGACUUGGAACCAACUAUGAUAGACUGGAUUAAGAAAAUGUGGCACAUAUACACCAUGGAAUACUAUGCAGCCAUAAAAAAUGAUGAGUUCAUGUCCUUUGUAGGGACAUGGAUGAAGUUGGAAACCAUCAUUCUGAGCAAACUAUCGCAAGGACAGAAAACCAAACACCACAUGGUCUCACUCAUAGGUGGGAAUUGAACAAUGAGAACACUUGGACACAGGGUGGGGAACAUCACACACCGGGGCCUGUCGUGGGUUAGGGGUAGGGGGAGGGAUAGCAUUAGGAGAUAUACCUAAUGUAAAUGACGAGUUAAUGGGUGUAGCACACCAACAUGGCACAUGUAUACACAUGUAACAAAGCUGCAUGUUGUGCACAUGUACCCUAGAACUUAAAGUAUAAUUUUAAAAAAAAAGAAGGGGAAUAAAAAACAAAAAUAAAAGAAUACAUUUUUCUGACAUUUCAAGGAAUGGGAUCUCUAGGUAGGAGGAGACAACUGACCACCCCACCCCAACUCUGUGUCCUUGGGGUUCACCUUCCCAUUGAUGCCCCCAUUCUGAAUCCUCAGGGGUCUACAAUAAAACUCCA